rnacentral:tRNA from 1 species
GGGCUCGUAGCUCAGUUGGUAGAGCGACGGACUUUUAAUCCGUUGGUCGCAGGUUCGAGUCCUGCCGGGCUCA